CUUUUGGGUUAUAAUCUUUGAUUUUAGCCGUAUGUAAUAUAUUUGGGGAUGGGACUAGUCUUGCAAUUUGUGAGUUUAGAGGUCCCAUACAGAAAUUAAGGGAUUAGGGCCUGUUUUGCAAAUUUUUAAGUAAGGACCUGCCACACAAUUUUAAAUAUUGAGGGACCUAGUUUUAAUUUAAAUCUAGGGUUAAUAUGUAAUUUACAAAGGGUAUUAAACUUGAACCUUUUAAAAGGUUUGAUUUGACCCUAAGAUUUCAAUUUUGACCCAAUUAAAAUUUUAAUUCUGACCCGUUUAAAAUUAUAUCAAAUAAAUAAAUAAAUAAAUAAUUGAUUGACGACUUCCAUAUUUUUCAUUAAAAUAUGUAUUUAAAUAUUGCCAUUAUUUAUGCAUUUAAAUUUCAUUUUUGAAAUUUUGUUGUCAAUUUCGUCUCUCAAUCACAUAUGAAUUUUUGUCUUUCAUCAAUUAAUGAUUAUGAUUUGUUGCGUAAUUAUUGUUUUGUGAUUGAAUCUUUAUGGAAUUUGAGACGAUUUUUAUUUUCCCACAAAGAGAAAUAUUUUGAAAUAAAAAUAGAUGGAGAUACUCAUUAUCAUUUAUUCGGUUUUCUCUACAAUAAAAAAUACAUAUAUUUUGCCCAACAAUUUUUGAUUUAUUGCAUAUAACAUCCUGCCCAAAGGUGUUAUUAUAUGUGAAAUUUUUUGGAAAAUGGCAUAAGGCGGUUAAUGAGUUUACCUUGAUCUAGAAAUUUCCUUUUGUCCAAAGGUGUUGGUGUUUCAAAAACUAAUGUAAUUUUGUUAACUAGCCACAUGCUGUAUUUUAAGAGUACCUUAUAGCAUGUUGUAUUGUUGACCCAAAGGUGACUUUAUGAUGAUGUGUCUAGGCUCUUACCGUAAUAAAUUCACAUGUUUUGAUUUAAAUUACGGAUUAUCUAAUUAAUAGCCCAUAUUAAUUAGUUGGAUAUUUCAUCAUUCAUUUGAUUGCAUGUAUAAUGUUUGGAUAAUAUUAAGAGUGAUAUUUUAUGUUUCCACAAUUUAUAAUGCAUCAUCUCUUUCGAAUCAAUUGUUUGCUAUUGAAACCUUGACUCGGAAUAACUAUGUGAGAUUGAAACAAGACGUAGAAAUAGCACUUGGUCAUUUGGGCUUGAAUUUUGCAAUGGAGAAAAAGCUUGAGAAACCCACAUAUAAGAGUACCGUUGAAUAUGUAGCCGAGCAUGAAAAAUGGGAAAGGGCUAACAAACUCUGUUUGAAGAUCAUUAAGCGAUCAAUAUUUGAUUCCAUUCUAGGUGCCAUCCCCGAUAAUGAAAAUGCCAAAAGUUUUAUGGAUGCCAUAGGAGAAAAAUUUAUUGAGUCUGAUAAAGUCGAAACUGGGGAUUUGAUGGAUAAAUUGAUGAGCAUGAAAUAUGAUGGCACAAGUGGUGUUAGGGAGCAUGUCAUGAAAAUGAUAAAUAUAUCAUCUAAGCUAAAGGUUCUUGACAUUCCCAUUGCGGAGCCUUUCCUAGUCUAUCAUAUUUUGAAUAGCCUUCCUAGCAAGUUUAAUCAGCUUAAGGUUACUUAUAAUGUUCAACGGGAUAAAUGGAAUUUGAAUGACCUCAUAGCAGUGUGUGUUCAAGAAGAGUAUAGGAUGCGCCGUGAAACUGUUGAAACUGUGCAAUUAGCUUUUCAGCCAUCACAGAAUAAGGGGCCUUCUCAUAACCAUAAACCUAAGUUUCGUAAGGGUAAUAAGUCCUACCGAAGUCAGCAGAAUAAAAAUUUUAGUGGCCCUAAAGGAGUUAUAAAGAAAAAUGAUCAAUGUAAGUUCUGUAAAAAGAAUGGUCACUGGCAAAAAGGCUGUUUUAAGUUCAAGACUUGGUUGGAAAAAAAGAAGAGUUCUUCAGGUAUUCCCUUGGCCUUAGUUUGUUUUGAGUCUUCUUUAGUAGAUAUGCCUUUGAAUUCUUGGUGGCUAGACUCGGGAGCUAGUAUUCAUAUUGCGAAUUCCUUGCAAGGGUUCACAAGCAAACAGAGGCCAAGUGAGAAUGAAGUCAGCUUGAGUGUUGCAAAUGGAGUUCAAGUGAAGGUUGAAUUCAUAGGAGUAGUGAAGUUGACUUUAGAGUCUAGUUUUUAUCUUGUUUUGAAAAAUACAGUUUAUGUACCGCAAAUGAGACGGAAUUUAAUUUCUAUAUCAAAACUUGAUGCUUGUGGUUUUACAUUUAAUUUUGGUAAUGGAAUGGUUGAGUUAUUUAAUGAUUCUUGUUUGAUUGGAAAUGACAUUUUAUGUGAUGGUUUAUAUAAAUUAUCUUUGGCUCCUUUUGGUGAUGUCUCGUGUAUUACAAAUGUAUCAAAGUAAAGGACCUUAAUUCGUGAAUCAUCCUCUAUGUUGUGGCAUAAGCAUUUGGAGUCAUAUUUCUAAGGAAAGAAUGGAAAGAUUAGUAAAAGAUGAGAUACUUCCCUCUUUAGACUUCUCUGAUUUUGAAACCUGUGUCGAUUGUAUAAGAGGAAAGCUAACUAAAUCUACAAGGAAGUGUUAAAUUUGGAGUAAUGGAAUUUUGGACUUGAUACACACUUAUAUCAGUGGACCUUUGCCCUCCACUAUAUGUGGGAAUAAGUAUUUCAUAACUUUCAUGAUUUUGGCUGUUAUUACAACUGUCAUUCAUAUCAACAAUGGCCUCCGUAGGUAUGAAUUCGUUUUAUUAAUUUAUUAUAUGAUGAUUCUUGAUUCUCAGUAUGAUUACAAAUAAAUUUCAACAAUUGGUAUCAGGGCCUUCAUGCUAAGAUCAGAAUCCUUAAUAAAAUAAUAUUCUGUCUCAUUUUUUUUUCGGCUUGAAUAAUCAAAAGUUAGAUUUUAAUAUUGUUAUUGUUUUCUGGCAAUUUGAGGGAAUUAAUUCUUAUCCUCCUCACCAACAACUUGAUUCUAUAUACACGCUUGUACACUAUUUCCACUUGCACAUCAAUUCCCUUUUGGUUUAAAAUUGGCACAGCAAAAUCCCAACUGUGCCACCAUGUGACCCCUACCACCCAUGUCUUUUUUUUCCCAAUCUCCAAUAACCUUGAACAUUCCAUUAGACUUAGAAACAUCAAUCACAAUCACAAUCCCAAUCCUAAAAUCAAGCUCGGCCCACCUGCCACACCGCCGAAUCAGCCACAACAACCUGAAAAACUGUCUGCGACGGCGCCGAACUGCUGUGUGGGUAGUCUAUUUGCGGCAAUUACCGAACAGUGGAGAGGGUCAUGGUUGUCCUUUUUGAAUUCUAACUCCUUAUAAGUUGAUAAAUCAGUCAUUAUUGACACCUAACCAUGUCGCCGACGGUGGAAACUGAGAGAAGAAUGGUGGUUUUUCUUUUGGGUUAUAAUCUUUGAUUUUAGCCGUAUGUAAUAUAUUUGGGGAUGGGACUAGUCUUGCAAUUUGUGAGUUUAGAGGUCCCAUACAGAAAUUAAGGGAUUAGGGCCUGUUUUGCAAAUUUUUAAGUAAGGACCUGCCACACAAUUUUAAAUAUUGAGGGACCUAGUUUUAAUUUAAAUCUAGGGUUAAUAUGUAAUUUACAAAGGGUAUUAAA
rnacentral:lncRNA from 1 species